UAGAAAGCGAGAGUUAGGGGCCUCUUCGUCGUCCUGGGUUUAUUUUAGGAAUUCGCCAUUCUGCUUCGGGGUUAUUUUUAGCUUUUGAUCAACACGUGUUGACAACUACAGUUUUCAGUCGACCAACCUCUCUCUCUCCUCUUUGUCUCUUUCGUCUUUUUCAUCGAGGAUUUGACAAAUAAACCCUAAUAGGCAGACGAAUGGGCAAAGCGCCUGCUUUAUCGUCCUUUUGUUCUUCAUCUUACUAUUUAUUGGCUUUGCUGCAAACAGCAUAUAUGGGCUUUGAGCUAUUCAUUAAAUAUAAUAUUUAGCGGCUUAGGUGAAUUCUAUGGUUUCGAAAACGGAUUUGACUGUUUGAAGGAAUGAAUCGCUCAUUGUCGUCUCCAGAUAGUGAUUACUUUGAAGAUAUUGAUCCUACCAUUGGUGUGAUUAGGCCUAAAACAAUAUUGCAUCUAUUAAAGCAAGAAGGAAAAUCAAGGGGCGCUGCUACAAAUCAAGUACGCAAGGCAAUUUCACUUGCUCAGAAAAUCAUCGUGUUGGACCGAUGAACUUUUACCAUCUGCAUCAGGCUAGCAAAGGCUGUUAAAAUUGGUUCAUUUCGGAUGGCUUAGGUUCGGGUUAAAAAAAAUUCUCGGUUCCUUUGCGAGGUUUGCUAGAAAUUUUAUAUUUCCACAUGUUUGUUUCAAAUUCAUUUGAAUAUCAUCACAAAGCAAUGCCUUGUUCAAGUAAAAAUUUCACCACAAAAGAAUGGACCAAGUUUGGAGGAUUGUGCUUGCUGGAUCAAUCUUGAGGGGACAUCGUCAAAUGUCGCUUUGCAGACAUUGCUCCAUCUUAUAUGCUCCUACAAUGAUCAUGAAAAUGGUAAACUUGUUGUCAAUAAUAUGGAUGAUGAGGUUGAGCAGGUUUCAAUGGAAUGAGUCUUGUGUUGAAUCAAUGAUCACAAGGAAACUAAGUUACGAUCUUGCUGGAUUCUUUUUUUUUUCCAGGUGUGAAAUGAAGCAUUAAGAUGACUGCAUUAGAAAAUCUGACAUUUCCAGCAGUCUAUUUAUUUUCAAUUUAUAGUCACCUCUUAUAGAGUUUGAUAAUCAUUUCACAGAAUACCAAUAGAGAUUAUACUCGGUAACCUGUGGUUAAAGUUUUGGCUUAAAUUCAUGUCAAAAGAUGGUGGUAUGGUGGAAAACGCUUUUUUGAUGAUCAGUUUACUGCUAGCACGAGGACAACAUUAUCCUGCUCUAUUACAUGUGCAAAUAGAUGGAUCAUAACCCUUUCUUAGGGUGUAUGCUUGAUGGAUACAUAGGAAUAUAAUGAGAAACAGAACAAUGGCUAUACAUGGUUAGUGGUUACCAAGAAAAUGCCACAUUUAAGAUCAAGUUGUAAAUGUGGGGAGUAAUUGUCCUACUAAAGCAAAAGGGCCCUCGGGGUACCAACUAUGGUCCAAUGGGCGAUUAUUGAAGCUUCAGGCCAUAGUGUUAUCACACCUGAAUUUUUUUUGAUGAUGUGAACCAAAACUCUUGAGACUAAAAAAGAUGCUGCAGGAAGCAAAGGAGACAUUGAAGAAGAUGCUUCAGGAAGCAAAGGAGACAUUGCAGUGCCUAAGCAAAGGAGACACGCUUUAGGCAUUGAAUUUAUUUAUUCGUAGUGUAAAUAAAUAAGUUGUGUAAUCUAGAUGCGCUAAAAAUGCAUAGUUUAGCAUAUAGAAAUUAUCUGUUAUCCUGAUUACUCCGGGGAAACUUGAAAGCUUGCCUCUCCUCUGCAUAUGUCGAUUAGGUGGUGUAUGUAUUGUCCCACUAUGAGUUCAUUGUGUGAAAUUCACUUUAAAGCUACUGCAUAGUCUUGCUUGCCUAUCUGAAAGUCUUGCCUUAUGUAUGGUGCAACCAAUUAUUUUUGUUUAUGCGAAUCAAUGUUUUUUCCCUUUUUUUUCUUUCUAAUAAAGCAAAAGUAUACAAAGUGAUGCUAAGUAGGGCUGAGAUUUUACUCUAUUUCUGCAGCUAACUCCAACAUUAAUGGAAGAGAAUUGACCUGAAGGUGAUUUAAAAGAGAUCUAGACAUAACUUGGAACAUGAUUCAGGUGGACAAUUAAAUAUAUAAUAUUGUGGAAAUGUAGCCAUUGGGAUGACUUACAUCAAAUUGUAAAAUAUUAAAUCAUACUCAAAACCUAAGGUAGAGAAUCCAUUUAAAUUUUGAGUCAAAUGGUUAUUGGAGAGUCACUUUCAUCCCUGUAUUGUGCAAAUAUAUACUUGACUAGAUCAACCUGUCUAGAUAAAUUUUUUUACUAUGUCUAACCGUUGCUUGGGUUAUUGAUGGUGACUGCUUCCGACCACCAAAAACCAUCUCUGAACCGACAUGUAACUUUACAGAACUUAUACUUAAAGAUCCAUUGGGACAAAAGAGGAGUCCAGAAAAAAUUUAUCAAAGCGCUUUGAGAUCGGUGGCGGAAACAACGGGGGAGUAGGUAAUCAUGGAGCCAAUUACAGGAGUUUUACCAGGAUGAUCUAAACUAAGAGAAAAUUUAAGUCAUCUAAUGAUGCCUUACAUCUCAUUGUGUACCUGUUUCUGUUGUAAAGAUCCUAUUGUCCCAUGCUCUUGCAAAUAUGUAGAUAAUAUGUCCAUUUGUUGUGAAAUGGACCGUGAACAUUAACUCCAUGCAGAAAUAGUCUGUUACAAGUAAACUUCCCUUAGGCUUAUUGAACUAUUAACAUGGCAUAAAAAUAUUUCCUUCCUGUAGUCUCCAAAUGAAGUCUUCUUUGUGUGUGUAAUUUUUUUUUAUAUGUUUGGCUGUUUUCAAGGCUCCUGGAGAGUUGAAGUGCAACAUAUUUCAGAUAAGAGUGUCAUAAUGAGUGAAAUUUCAGACACAAGGAGUAAUCUCUUGUUUGUGUUAAUUGAAAUAUGUUAUUAUGAUUUUCUAAAUGAGCUUGUCAGCAUAGCAUUGACCUAUACAUUCUCCUGCUUCACUGGCAAUUACCACAAAGUAGACCAGCUGCUAUUUGUUAAUGUUAUCUGUAUCCAUUUACUUUUAUCUUACAGGGCUCAUUUGAGUUGAUAUUUCUCUCACUGCAACCAAUUUAAAUGGUGGUAUCGAUUUUCUCUUGUACGGCGUAUACGGUUAAAAUCGGGCCCACCCGAUUUUACUGUUUGACCGAGACCGGGACUUUGCAUCAAAGGAUGACUCCGAAGUGGAUCGAAUCGAGGCACGAAGACAAGGUACCAAGAUCGAGGCUGACAACAAUCGAGACCAAACGAGACAGACAUCGAGCAAUACCGAUGAUAGCAUAAUAAUGGAAAAGCGAGAUAUCCUCGACUGGUCGAAGAUCAUGGCGGAAAUUUCGGAACGGAUCGAAUCAAGAACAGUUGUUUAGUUAAUCAUGGGAUUUCCUUCUGUAAUUAGAAUUGUACCAUAUAUAGAAUUCUUCUACUAUAUAAAGGGAGAGUUCUAACCAUUUGUAGAAACGACCGAGACAAAAAACAAUAUAAUUUUCUUUCUCGCUCA